UUAAGGUAUAAGACCGACACAUACUUUGGAAUGGUGGAGAAAGGAAUGCAGGAUCAGAAUUUCCAUAUCUUAAGUAUCAUACUUUUUUCCACUGUUGCUGGGUAAAAGGAAGCUGGGCGGCCUGGACAAGCUGGGUUGCGUACGUUGUUGGCAGUGACGUCAUUGGAAGGGGAUCAACCCCUGGGACCCGGCGGCAGGAGGAGACAGGGGUACUGUUGGAAAUUAUCUAGCCCAUUCUUAAGACAGAGAAGAAGCGUGGAGAUGCAACACAUGCGCAAUAGUGCAUUCGGGAUCUGGGUCAGAGGUCGCGGCAGUGAAGCAACUCCGGCAGUGCCCAGCAGAUGAAGAUCUGAACAUAUUGAGGUGCGGAAUAUAUACAGGACUCUAGCAACUGUGCAUCAGUUGAGACCACCUACCGCUGCAGUGGACCUUAUAUAAUAAGGUGAAGCAGCUUUUUGGAAUCCGUCUGUGGCAUAUGUAAUAUUAUUACCAGAUACACUAACCGGAGGAGUGGAAAGUACAGCGUUUAGCAUUAAAUCCUUAAAAGUACUGUAUAUCCACAAAAAUGGUGAGAAUGACCUUACAACCGGAUUUUAAUCGAACAUGAUAAGUGUGUGAUUUUUGUUCAUUUUACUCAUU